rnacentral:lncRNA from 1 species
AUGUUGGGGGCUAACACUGUCUCAUGUGCUGCUGAAGUUAUGAGAAGGAACAGGGACACCAGAAUCCGAGCAAGGGUGAGGGACUUUGUUGCCAACAAGACCAAUGCCUCAGAACCUGUGACUCAGUUUUGGCUGGAGGUAGGGGACCCAGGCCUGGAGGAGCCAAGCUGCAGUGAGACUUCAAGGCAGCCACACAGUCCACCGCCAGGGUUCAACUGCACCUCCUCAGCCUCAGCUGAGCACCAAGAUUCUGGGCUCCCCUUAUUGCCCUGUGAGCUGCUCCUGAGAAGUCAGAUCCGACUUGUCCUCUGUGGUCACCUUGGAGUUACACUUCCUUUCUCUCUGCCAUCUACUUUGAAGAACUCCUUUUCAGGUUGUCUUCUUCAGGAAUGA